GAUGAACGCUGGCGGCGUGCUUAAUACAUGCAAGUCGAGCGAACGGACGAGAAGCUUGCUUCUCUGAUGUGAGCGGCGGACGGGUGAGUAACACGUGGAUCACCUACCUAUAAGACUGGUAUAACUUCGGGAAACCGGAGCUAACACCGUAUAAUAUUCUGAACCGCAUGGUUCAAUAGUGAAAGACGGUCUUGCUGUCACUUAUAGAUGGAUCUGCGCUGCAUGAGCUGGUUGGUAAGGUAACGGCUUAUCAAGGCAACGAUGCAUAGCCGACCUGAGAGGGGGGUAGGCGACACGGGAGGGGGAACGCGGUCCAGGGUCCUGCGGGAGGCAGCAGUAGGGAAUGGUACGCAGCGGGCGGAAGCAUGACGGAGCGACGGCGAGUGAGAGAUGACAGUGUUGGGUGCGUAAUGAUCUGUUAUUAGGGGAGAACAUAUGUGGAAGGAACUGUGGACAGCGUGACGGUAACUAGUCAGGAAGCAACGGCUAACUACGUG
rnacentral:rRNA from 1 species